rnacentral:rRNA from 1 species
GUGAGGAAUUUUCCGCAAUGGGCGAAAGCCUGACGGAGCAAUGCCGCGUGAAGGAUGAAGGCCUAUGGGUUGUAAACUUCUUUUCUCAGAAAAGAAUUAUGACGGUAUCUGAGGAAUAAGCAUCGGCUAACUCUGUGCCAGCAGCCGCGGUAAGACAGAGGAUGCAAGGGUUAUCCGGAAUGAUUGGGCGUAAAGCGUCUGUAGGUUGUUUAAAAAGUAUUCUGUCAAAGAUUAGGGCUUAACCCUAGAUAGGCAGAAUAAACUUUUAAGCUAGAGUUUGGUAGAGGCAGAGGGAAUUCCCGGUGGAGCGGUGAAAUGCGUAGAUAUCGGGAGGAACACCAAAGGCGAAGGCACUCUGCUGGGCCAAUACUAACACUGAGAGACGAAAGCGAGGGGAGCAAAUGGGAUUAGAAACCCGUGUAGUCC